rnacentral:tRNA from 1 species
UCCCUGGGGGUCGAGUGGCUAAGACUCCGUGUUCCCAACCCAGGGGUCCAGGUUCGAUCCUGGUCAGGGAA